GAUGAACGCUGGCGGCGUGCCUAAUACAUGCAAGUCGAGCGAACGGACGAGAAGCUUGCUUUUCUGAUGUUAGCGGCGGACGGGUGAGUAACACGUGGAUAACCUACCUAUAAGACUGGGAUAACUUCGGGAAACCGGAGCUAAUACCGGAGAAUAUUUUGAACCGCAUGGGUCAAAAGUGAAAGACGGUCUUGCUGUCACUUAUAGAUGGAUACGCGCUGCAUUAGCUAGUUGGUAAGGUAACGGCUUACCAAGGCAACGAGGCAUAGCCGACCUGAGAGGGUGAUCGGCCACACUGGAACUGAGACACGGUCCAGACUCCUACGGGAGGCAGCAGUAGGGAAUCUUCCGCAAUGGGCGAAAGCCUGACGGAGCAACGCCGCGUGAGUGAUGAAGGUCUUCUGAUCGUAAAACUCUGUUAUUAGGGAAGAACAUAUGUGUAAGUAACUGUGCACAUCUUGACGGUACCUAAUCAGAAAGCCACGGCUAACUACGUG
rnacentral:rRNA from 1 species